rnacentral:rRNA from 1 species
UACGUAGGGUGCAAGCGUUAAUCGGAAUUACUGGGCGUAAAGCGCACGUAGGCGGCUUUGUAAGUAAGAGGUGAAAGCCUGGUGCUCAACACCAGAACUGCCUUUUAGACUGCAUCGCUUGAAUCCAGGAGAGGUGAGUGGAAUUCCGAGUGUAGAGGUGAAAUUCGUAGAUAUUACGGAAGAACACCAGUGGCGAAGGCGGCUCACUGGACUGGUAUUGACGCUGAGGUGCGAAAGCGUGGGGAGCAAACAGG